AUUGAUUUAAAGCACAAGUUAACUUGCACAUGUCCUACGUAUGAUGCAUAAGAUAUGUUGAGCAAACUUGAUUUUGUACCAUAUGAACUUACAGGUAAAAUCUAAUGGAUAUUACAAUCUAAAGCACGGCGAUUUAGAUGCUGGACAAACUAUCAAUCAAAGGAAAUAUAGCGAGGUGUCCAAAAUUUAUUCGAUAACGGUCUUCCAUUAACGCGUUAAACGUCAUUUUUGUCAUUUUGUUCCUGGGAACCGACACAAAACUUUUUAUUUGUACACGGACCGCCACGGACGUAUUUUUUUGUAUUAACACACCGCACCGCUUAAAGGCGAGAAUUCCUUUGUGCGUCCAAUGUUUGCGUCAAAAGCAGCCUUAAAUCCAAGUCACAAGAUCAACCCAAUCUCGCUGCGAUAUCGCAGCAGGCAUCUGACGCAUCCGUCGGGCACAUUUGUACCUUUACAAUGAAAAAGUAUGCUUUUGUUUUCGCAGUAUCUGAUUUAUCGUGUGAUUUGAAUUUGACUGUUCUUGAGGCAGAUGUGCGUAUUGAGCACACCUAGAACAUCCCGCCUCAAAUGGGUAGCAAAACAAAAUUAACUUCGUGUUUAACAUAUUUAGAUAAUAAUUGUAUAAAUUAUGCAGUUUAGAAACUUCAAGCUGCAUAAUUAACAAAGCACCAACCUAUCCUCACUUUAUUUCUGCCGCUAUUCGAUUUAUUGAUCGUAUCGAUUUCUUAUUGAUAAAAUCUUACAAGCUGUCGAGAAACAAUUUGAUAGCAGAACUAAUGUUAGCUUGAAAUAUUCUACUACGGAAGAUAGAAUGGAGGGGAAGAGAUGUCUUCGAAAGCAUUUUUUGAGCGAUUCGGUAUUUCUCGAAUGAUUAUACCUGUAACGAAGCUUCUUAUCGAAAUACUAUACAAUACGUUUAUCGACGAUAAAUCGCAAGCGUGUUCGUUGCUUAAUUCCAAUUACGUAAGGCUCGAUUUACACGAUAGCACCUUUUCGUUUUAUUUCACAAAUCGUUUCUUUUCAUGGAUGUCACUUUGAUUCAUCGGGCAAUGUCGAAAAACUCAAUUGGUUAAUUCUUGUCUGAAUCAAUAAUUUAACAUAUACAACGAUAAUAAUACUAUUAGUAACGGAAAAUGUUAUUAUGCGGAAAUAGAUAGUUUUUAUGGAGGUUAAUCUUUUAAUUCUAAGUUUAAGCUCCAUCAUUCUACCAGUAUAAUAAAAGUAACAUGAAUUCGAGGUAUAAAUAGAUACAAAUCUAUUACCUUUAAUUAAAAUUAGUUAGUGUGAUCGUAUCGCUAAAUUCGAUUUUUCAAUCAAAGGUCAUAUUUUUCCAAAAAAUAUCUCGAAUUUAACAAUACAUCUAACAUUUCUGAAUACAGACAUUGCAUCACUACUUGUGUCGGAUUUUGUAUUAACAAUUCAUCGCACGCUCGUUUAUUUACUGAUUCUAGAAUAAAAUAAGUAAACAUACUAUUUCCUUGUGAUACAGUCUUAAAUUUGCCUCGUACUCUCGCUCUGUUCUCAUCUUAAAAUGUUUACGAACUAUACACAGUUUUUAUACAAUUAGGCAUAUUCGUUUGUUUAUCGUUUAUGUCUUUUUUUUGUUGUUACUUUUACGUUAGAUGAUAAAUAUCAAACGUGUUUUCGCUUAUCAUUUGCAUACCGUACAUACUAACACGGAUUGGCUUUCGUUCUUAGAAACGUAAUUAUCCGCGUGAUAUGGUUCGCUUUGUUUAUUGAUAUUACUUUUUUUUUUACUUUUGUUGUUUCUUUUCCUUGGUUUUAAAUGGUCCGUAAAUUUUGUGUUCGACGCAGCAGGUAGUGCGUGAUAAGGCCCUAAAUGUACAUUCAAAAAAUUCAUAAAAACUUUUCGGCAGUAAUGAUGAUAGACACGUGCGAAUCAUUUGAUCACAUCUCGCGUUUAUAGUACAUUUAUUACACGCAGCUACGCGAAAAUUCUAAACAUAUAUUGAUCAGUACGAGCCGCAUGACAUUCCAUUUAGACAGACGAGCGAUUUGCGAUAGCGUAACCGCCGCGGUAAUUUCCCACUGCGUUUAUGCGUUCAAUUUUUACGUUAAUUUGCCGCCGCGUUUUGCAUUCACGUGUAAACUACUUCAUACAAGUCUAUGCUCUUCUAAAACAGUGACACAGAGUGUCACGCCGCUGACGCCCCCGCAAACCGUUCAUCUAUACCGAACCUUAGACUUUCCUCCUCUGUAGCGAAAAUAAUUUAUAUGUAAAAUAUUUUCAUAUAGUGUCAAAUAAGUAACAUAUUAUCACUGGUUCACGCUACUUUAAUACGCCGAGCAAGAAUCUAUAUGCGACACGAAGUGCGAUGCUUCUAGAAAUUCGUAAACAAUUAAAAUAGAUAAGUCAAUAGACUAGUCAGAGAUACUAAUUACAUUGUUUGUAAUUAUAUCAGACCUCGACUAAUAUUAUUUAUAAACAUAAAUAGAAGUAGCGAUAGUUAGCUAGAUCUGGUAAACUAAGAAGAUCGGGGCUAGUUAAGUGCACGCGUACUUAACGAAUAUUCGACCUCGAUUUUCUCGAGAACGGAGCAACAGAGCUCCAUACGAACAAACUUUGUUUUUACGAGAAGAUAAUUUUUUGUAGUACGGUGCCUAAUUGUAAUUAGUAUCUAAAUUAUUUCGCCGAUUGUUUCUUCGGUUUUUUCAUUUGGCUUAUUUCUAUCACCAAAAUUAAGGAAAAAACACCUCUACAAUAAUAAACUAAAUGUAAUUGUAAUAUUUUUGUCAAGCGCUACAGUCAAACGAUUCGACUCGCUUUAGUUUUGCAAUUCGCACGUGUCUAAAAGAUAAUAAAGCUGAAUAUUACACAUUUACAUGUGAUUGGGGAAAUUUUGAGGAAAUUAUUUACAUUAAAAGUCGAUCUCGUUAUCGGAUCCGAAAUAAUAUCUCGGAUAGUGGUUUGUCGAAACGAAAUCGCAUCUAAAGCCAGUACAGUUCUCUCUAUAGAUUUGUAACUUACAGUACUGCCAUUUUAGCCGGUCAAAGUGAUACGUCUUGAUAACUGACUGUCGGUAUCACUUUUAUAUAGACUAUCUACAAACUCUGAAACGAAUAUUUAAAUAUUGGAUCUUAAAUAUUGAAUGUUAUUAUAUCAUCCUAUCCAUUUCUCUUAGCCAAAGAAUAAAAUUCCUGGAAUAAACUCUCCUUUGCUAUCUGGCCACAUUUAAUUUCAAUUAAUUCGUUAUAAGACAGUACUGUAUACGAUUUAUUUUUAUACUAAUCGUAAGUAUCUAAUAUUUGAUUAAGCACACGCCGGUUUUCGAUCCCUUUCUGUGUAUGUUUUAGUUGUACAUUCUGGUCUUGCAAACACGACCUUGAAAAAUGUUGAUUCUGGUGUUCAUUAAAUAAUGUAUCAGCACCACUGUACAUGUAUGUACGUAUGUAUGUACUUCGAAAAUUUCGAUAAUCGAGUUUCACCUAAUUUUUUGACUAAAUCCCUGAACACAAAUUGGCAUCGAAUUUUUUUCUCUCCCAAUGUAUUUACAACAGAUAAUUUUUUUCUUUCUUUCUUUAUUUAUUCUAACGAUAUUCUCACUGAUACUAACGAUAUUCUAAAGUAAUGUUAGUAAAAAAAUGCAAAAUGUUUUCUCUUAAAGAAAAAAAGAAAAAAAGGAUUAAUUUUGAAAACUAGGUGAAACUGCAUUAUUGAUUUUUUUUUUUACAGUUUAUCGUUGUUAAAAUAACGUUUGAUUCCGUUAUGUCGACAUAUGUAUAAUAUUUACGUGUAUAUACAGAGUGUAUCAAAAUAAGUGUCGUCUAAAAUAAUUAUCUUUUAUCAUUUUUUUUUUUUCUUUUCUCACCUUGUUUGAAUAGAAUAAUAUACUUUUAUUUCAGAAUACCAUGAAAUGUAAAAAAAGGAAAUCUAUUUGAUUUAAUUUCUCAAGGUCACUUUAUAUUCGUUGCCGAUGGUAUUGCAUGAAACAAGUCCACGCGCAAUGAUUCUUAAUCGAUUGGUCGUAUGAAUUACAAACAUGGUUUGUAAAUAAUUAGUUACAAAUAUAUCGAUCUUCAACUUUAAUCUUUCCUAGACAUUAAAUUCUCCAAAGGUCACUGCAUAGUUAUGCGUAAGUUCGUCAGAUAUUUUUUUUUUUAUAUCUUCAUGGUAUUAAAAAUAAAAAUAUAAUAUUUUUUACUUAAAAUGAAAAUUCUAUUAGGAAAAUUCUAUCUACGUUAUUUUGGUAAUUUGUAAUUAUUAGACUCCGGAUACUUAUGCAUUUUUUAGAUGCAAAAUCUACAGAACGCAUAAAGUGUAGAAAGUAGAGUAUUUGUUAUAAUAUUUAGUACACGAAACAAAUCUCUAUUUAUAUUCCACUUUCUUUAGUUAUGUUUACAAAAAUCUAAAAUCGCAUAAACAUCCUCAGUCUAGUAAGUAUUUUAUACGACACUUCUUUCAGAACAUCGUGUAUACGGGUUUCUCGUAUUUACUUAGAAGUAGAGUUCUCUCGGGAGGACGAGAAAACCGAAGAAAUCGAAAUUAAUCUCAUCGACUAAGAUAAAGGACGGGAGGAGAUUAACGUUUUCGAUAGCGACUCCUUUCGUAUUACUAUAAUAUGCAAUAACAAACGAAUUGUGUGUAUGUGCGCAUAAAAAAUUGAAAAAUACAUGACAUAGAAAAUGGAAGGAACUUGAAUAACAUUUGUAUAGUACAUUAUACCUGAUUUACAGAAAUGGCGGCAACGCAACCUUCCACGGAACAUAUUCUUGUUUAAAAAAGUCGUUAGAAGUUCCAUUGAAGUAGGCACGUAUAUAUAUUGAACCGUAUUACACGUCAAGAAGAAAUUAAUUUAACGAAUUUUAACCCUCAACCAACUAUGAUUGUACCAUCUAAGACUCAUCAAUGAAACGAAGAAACAUAUUUUCAAUGACAAAAUUUGAUUUUCUAAUUUUCAUUAUCGGAUACUGCUUGCACAAUCUAGCCGAUAUUAUUAGCGAAGUUUUACUAGUUACAAUUUACUAGUAUCAAUAAAUUCCCUAAUAUAGAACUAGACAAUUCUUUUACAUAAAUUUAAAACUAUUUGAUCGCUCUAUUUGUUGAGAAAUUGUGAAAAAAAGAGAACACUACAUGUAUCUGUAAUUUGUUGAUUCACUAAUAUUAGUAACUGGUAAAUUAUUGUGCAACAAGGUCCUAAUUUAAUUUUGAUAGUUUUAUAUGCAAUAACCGUAAUUUUUGUUAUGGAAAAAUGGUAUAAUUUUCAUCACAUUUUGAUACUUGUAUGAUUUUACAGCUUGGAACAAAAUUAAAAAACAAAAAUAUAAUUAUAAAUACUCAUAUUAAUAUAAGAAUGUGUGUAUAAUAAUGCCACAAAGUCUAGAGUCUAAAAAAGAUACAUGUGAUCCAGCCAUCCGUUGUUCGAGGGUUAUAAAUGUUAAUACUAUUGCAAUUGGAAUAUUCAAAGAAGUGUACAACGAAUAGUACAAUUACGAACGUGUGUCAUAUUUGAAAGUUAAUAUUUAAAAAAUAUUCUGACAUCUAAAUAUUCAAACUACAUGAUUAUUCAAUUAUUUAGUUUGAAUAUUUCAAUUAUUAUUAAUAUUAACGAAGUUCAAGUACCUAAAUCGUCGUUAUUAAAGUACACUAAUUAUCUGCAGGAAUUAUCUUUUUCGAAUACUCGAAGUAACUGCCGUGUGUUGUGAUAAAUUGAUUCAAUUACUGUAUAUAUUCUGACGUUAAGUAUGUCAUAAGUUAUUAUGCACAUAAAUAUCGUAAUUAAUAUUAUUAAUAGCAGCAACUGCAUAUAUGCAUUUAGCACUCUCUACAAAAUCAAAAAUAUUAUUUCAGAAAAAUUUUAAUUCAACAUUAACUGUUGAAUAAUUUAAUUAUAGUAAUUGAUUAAAUUCUGUUGGUUGUAUGCUUGCAAGAAACAUAUCAACAACCAGUUAGAUUAAAUGUACAUACAAAUCGUAAUUUCUAUUGUUUAUUAGCAUUGAAAGCCUUAUAAAAUUGAUUGUUAAAUAAAUUACCAUAAACAUA